UACAGAGGGGGCAAGCGUUGUUCGGAAUUACUGGGCGUAAAGGGCGCGUAGGCGGCCCUCUAAGUCAGACGUGAAAUCCCUCGGCUCAACCGGGGAACUGCGUCUGAGACUGGAAGGCUUGAAUUCGGGAGAGGGAUGUGGAAUUCCAGGUGUAGCGGUGAAAUGCGUAGAUAUCUGAAGGAACAUCAGUGGCGAAAGCGACUUCCUGGACCAAUACUGACGCUCAGGUGCGAAAGCCAGGGGAGCAAACGGG
rnacentral:rRNA from 1 species